rnacentral:rRNA from 1 species
UUGACUGUGCAAAGGUAGCAUAAUCAAUUGGCUUUUAAUUAAAGUCUAGUAUGAACGAACGUAUGGGUAAUGACUGUCUAGGGAUGUUACUACAAAAUUAUCAAGUUGGUGCAAAUGCCAACAGAUCUAAAAAAGACGAGAAGACCCUAGAAACUUAUAGAUUAUUUUGCUGGGGCGGCAGAAUUGCAUAUAACCAAUUUUUUAUUUACGUGAAGCGAUGCAGAAAGAAAAAGUUACUCUAGGGAUAACAGCAUAAUUUUUAUAGUUUGUGACCUCGAUGUUGGACUAGGGAUAUUAUCCCUUAGAAGGGGAUAAUUAUGGCUCUGUUCGAGCUUCUUACNCCUACGUGAUCUGAG